rnacentral:rRNA from 1 species
GACGAACGCUGGCGGCGUGCUUAACACAUGCAAGUCGAACAGAAAGGCCCUGCUUUUGUGGGGUGCUCGAGUGGCGAACGGGUGAGUAACACGUGAGUAACCUGCCCUUGACUUUGGGAUAACUUCAGGAAACUGGGGCUAAUACCGGAUAGGAGCUCCUGCUGCAUGGUGGGGGUUGGAAAGUUUCGGCGGUUGGGGAUGGACUCGCGGCUUAUCAGCUUGUUGGUGGGGUAGUGGCUUACCAAGGCUUUGACGGGUAGCCGGCCUGAGAGGGUGACCGGCCACAUUGGGACGGAGAUACGGCCCAGACUCCUACGGGAGGCAGCAGUGGGGAAUAUUGCACAAUGGGCGGAAGCCUGAUGCAGCAACGCCGCGUGCGGGAUGACGGCCUUCGGGUUGUAAACCGCUUUCGCCUGUGACGAAGCGUGAGUGACGGUAAUGGGUAAAGAAGCACCGGCUAACUACGUG